CUGCCCGGUGUUAUAUAAACGGCCGCGAAAGUGCUAAGGUAGCAUAAUAAAUUGUCUAUUUAUUAUAGACUAGAAUGAAUGAUAUAACGAAGCUUAACUGUCUUUUUAUAUUCUAUUGAAUUUUAUUUAAAAGUGAAAAAUCUUUUAUUUUAUUGGUGGACGAGAAGACCCUAUAGAGUUUUAGUAUUAUAAUACUUUUAUUGGGGCAAUAUAAGAAAAAUAAAACUCUUAUUUAUAAUAUAAAACCUUAAAAAGUUAACAAAAUAAACUACCUUAGGGAUAACAGCGUAAUUUAAUCUAAGAGAUCUAAUCGAAGAUUAGGUUUGCGACCUCGAUGUUGGACUAAGGGUAAUAAUUAUAUGUAGAAGUAUAAUAUAUAAGCCUGUUCGGCUUUUAAAUCCUUACAUGAUCUGAG
rnacentral:rRNA from 1 species